rnacentral:rRNA from 1 species
AAUAGAUACCCAGGUAGUCCACGCCGUAAACGGUGGGCGCUAGGUGUGGGGGACUUUCCACGUCCUCUGUGCCGCAGCUAACACAUUAAGCGCCCCGCCUGGGGAGUACGGCCGCAAGGCUAAAACUCAAAGGAAUUGACGGGGGCCCGCACAAGCGGCGGAGCAUGUGGCUUAAUUCGACGCAACGCAAAGAACCUUACCAAGGCUUGACAUGCAGGGAAAUCUCGUAGAGAUACGGGGUCCGCAAGGGCUCUGCACAGGUGGUGCAUGGUUGUCGUCAGCUCGUGUCGUGAGAUGUUGGGUUAAGUCCCGCAACGAGCGCAACCCUUGUCCUAUGUUGCCAGCGAGUAAUGUCGGGGACUCAUAGGAGACUGCCGGGGUCAACUCGGAGGAAGGUGGGGAUGACGUCAAAUCAUCAUGCCCCUUAUGUCUUGGGCUGUACACAUGCUACAAUGGUCGGUACAAAGGGCUGCGAGACCGCAAGGUGGAGCGAAUCCCAAAAGCCGGCCUCAGUUCGGAUUGGGGUCUGC